UACAGAGGGGGCAAGCGUUGUUCGGAAUUACUGGGCGUAAAGGGCGCGUAGGCGGCCUUGCAAGUGGCGGGUUAAAUCCCUCGGCUUAACCGAGGAACUGCCUGCCAGACUGCAAGGCUCGAGACCGGGAGAGGUGAGUGGAAUUCCCAGUGUAGCGGUGAAAUGCGUAGAUAUUGGGAGGAACACCAGUGGCGAAGGCGGCUCACUGGACCGGAACUGACGCUGAGGCGCGAAAGCGUGGGGAGCAAACAGG
rnacentral:rRNA from 1 species